rnacentral:lncRNA from 1 species
CAGGCCUUAGGCUGGGCGCUGGAAGCGUCAUGGUAGCUAAGGCACAGCAACGCCCUCCCAGGAAGGGAGCAGGCUGGUGGGCAGGCAGGUGGGGAGGAGGCACCCUGCACAGGUGCUCCCCUGGGCCGGCUGCUCAGGGAGCGUUGCAUAGCCUUGGUAAGUCCCUGGGCCAGACUCACUUGAGCUGGGCCUGACGAGGGGUGGGGAGGAGGCAGCUGGAGAAUGUAGCCUGUGGGGAGGCAAGAGGCAGAGACACCGGGACACCUGGGCUACUGCCAAGAGUCCAGCGUGUCUGGAGUAUGGAGUGAGGGGUGAGCAAGACGGAGGCCAAUGUGGAACCAAGGCAGCCUCCAGGAAGGCCCCAGAGGCCAGGCUGAGAGCUUACCUCAGCACAGGACACUGGGGGCUGUGGGGUGGCCUCAAGCUUCAGCAGAAGUGGUGGGUCUGAGUUUUAACAGAUCACUCAGUGUGGAGAACUGGAUGGAAGGAGAAAAGCCUGGAGCAAAAUGACCAGUGAGAGGGCUGGUGCAGUGCCCUGGGCCUGUGAGAGGUGGCCCGUGCCGGUGGAGACCAGUAGGAGAGGCAGAGAUGCUGCAGGCGCUGGAUCUGCAGAACACAGCUCAGCAACCAGCAGGGUCUUGAGCUGGAAACAGAGUCACAGUGGCCACUCGUGGAGGUGAAGAAAGAGGAGCAACAGCUCGUGGGAAUGCGGUGAGUGUGGUUGGAGAGCAAGGCCUGGGCCAUCCAGACUAGGUCAGCAGCCCAGGGCCUGCAAAGAGCAGGGCUGAGGACACACACUGUCAUCGCAGCCAGGGCACAGAAGAGAGGGCAGACAGGUGGAAGGCAAUGUGACAACAUGCAGCGAGGCCCACACAGGUAACCACGGCACAGGCUCAAGAAGACAGGACUGUGAUCUCUGGGCUUAGGCAGCAAGGUCUCGGUGACACAGGAAGUGUAGGCUUGAAAGUGGCAUGUUGGGUGAGAAGCCAGCAUAAGGGAGUGUGGAGGAGCCCAGGUGACAGUGCUGGCGCCACUGGGUGCGCAGAGGAGAGCUGGGACUGCACAGUAAGGAAGGAAGGGACCCAAAGACAUGUGCCUGGAGCACCCUGGGUGAUUGGUAAGGGCAGGGGCGCACACGGAGAAAAGUGGAAAUCAUUUAAAAUUUGAGUUCCAGAACUGGGAGGCAGUGUUAGCCUGGUGGACUUUUUCACUCUGAUGAAAACCAGGCUGGGUACAAGGCACUAUGCCAGUGCCCACCUUGCGGAGUGACCAGAACCUCCUUUGCUUUCAUUCCUCAGCGCCUGGAUGCUGGGUGUCACCACAAGCACAUGGUUGAUGUUGGGACACAUUACAUCUCUCACACAGCCAGUAAGUAGCCUCUGCUCAGGUGGCUCAGCCCCUCCAAGUCCACACUCCUCCCCAGGACUGACCUCUGGGCUGUCUUUACUCCUAGGCAGUGGGCUUCUGGGAGAAUGGGCUUGGAAUAUGGGUAUAGACAGGGCCAGAAGUUGAGGAAAGGAGGCAAAGGUCCAAAGUCUGGUCACUCUGAGGAAGAAGAUGUGGGAGGGAGUCAGGGUGAGCUGUACCUGAUACAGGGGACGCUUGGGGUAAAGGGAGACAGGGAAUGGUAACACGGAGACCAGGAGGCCCCAAAGCACUGGAUAAGGGAAGCGAGCCUGGCAAAGUGGGAGGAGCAGGAGAGGAGCUGCCUGGGUGGCCACCCCAGCACCAUCAACAGGGAGGCCUGGGGUUGCCCUGUGGUCAGACCUGAGGGCCUGGAUGGUGAGCAGAGCUGACUGUCCCUCUUGCUGGGCUCCAUGCACACCUGUCCAGCCACUCCUAGGAACUUCCACCCACUGUGACCCACUGAAGCGGUUCUUCCCUAGGCCUCCCUGUCUCAGUAGCUAAUUCUACUUUCCACCCUCUGCUCUGGCCUAGAUGUCAGUCUCAAAUCCUCAUUUCUGCUCGCCCCAGGCAAUAGUGAUCAAUUGCCACACAGCAAUGUUGCUGGAAUCUUAGUGGCCUGAAGCGCUAGUGGCCCCAGUGACUGAGGGCUGGGUGCACACAGUGUCUCUCACAGGCUGCUGCCCAGCAGAGGUGCAGCUGAGGCUGGGCUGAGCAGGACACCAUUCCCUAUAGGUUACUAGGCUAGGAGCAUCAGCUCAUUGCUGGCUACUGGACAGGUGCUGCUCCCUGUCACACGGCCAUCGGCUUCCUCAAAACCCCAAGGUGAAAGCCAGUGAAGUCUGCCAGCCAGAAGGAAGGCACAAUCUCACAUGAACACCCAAAUCCCCAUUCCAUCAUGUUCCCUUAUCCUGGCAGAAACAAGUCUCAGCCCAUCCACACUCUAGAGAGGGGCUACACAGGGCAAAAAUAAUGUCAGGAGGUGGGGUAUGCAGGAGCCACCAGAAAGUCUGCCCAACAUACCCCAUCACAGUUCAUUGGUGAUCCUGUGGACCCCACCUCCAAAGUGCCCCCUGCAGCUGCCCAUCCACCCUGGAGCCAGGGACCAUCUCUCAUUGGGCCACCCUGGUCUCCCUGGUCCUUUCUUCUUCAAUGUCCAUGCUACACAUGGGAGAUGAUGGAGUUCUCUGUGCCAUGAAAACCUUCCCCAAAGUUCUCACUGAUGACCAAGUGAAGUAACAACUCAUCAAGACCCUACCCAACCUGGCCUGCUCACCCCUCUGACUUCAUCUCAUCUCUGGCCACUGAUUGACAUGCUCAGACAUUGAUGCUUAUGUUCCUUAGACUCCUUGAGUUUGUUCCUGCGGUUUGGUGUUUAUACUUAACUUUCUCUCUGUCUGGAAUGUCCUUCCCCAGUUUUGCAUAGAACAUCUUCUGUCCUUCAGACCCAGCACUAGCCUUGCCUCCUUGGAGAGGCUUGCCCCUCUGGGAGGACAGCCCCAGGCUUGACCCCAUCACUCUCAGGCCAUUCCAGUGCAUCUCCCAGGGUUCCCAUGAAGGCCCCUCUGGCUCACUGCCAUGCUGGAUUGUCACUAUCUGUGAUUCACUAGUGUUCAGGCUCCCUGAGGACACCCCCACCCCCACUGGUUGUUUUCCAUGCUCUUCCCGUUGCCUAGAAGCAGACCUGAUGGGCAACGGAUCCUGCCAACUAUUGCUGAACAAAUUAGUCAGUUAAUGGCCCAGGAAUCAACUUAAUACACAGAGUUACAUGUCCUCUGCUGCCUGCAGAUGACUGCAUGACUCUAGUCAGAAAACCAGGGCCCUUUUCAUUGACUUUGGUGUGGUAUAAAUCUGGCCAGAGGAAGUUUCUGCAUCCAUUAUUUUAGGAAGCUUCUUAUAGCCCAUUGAUUGACAGUUAUUUACCCCCAUGUGUCCCCAAGUUCAUUUGAUAGUGGAUAGUAUCCCUGGGACAGCAAUACCUGCACGGAUGACACUUGGUCAGGGUUUUCACAGAGCCUGUUAAUGGUGUGCACAAGGAGAGCACACCACCUCCUGCAGAGCCAACAGAGAGGCACGGUGUUUCCAGGCCCAGCUGCUCUGAGGCAGCACAAAGGGCCUCGCCUGUCACAGGCAUGAGUUUCCUGUAAGAACAUAAAGAUCUAUACCAAGUGACAAUGAAAGCAACUGGGGAAAAACAAGGGUGUUCAGGAGUGUCAUGGAGGCGAAGGAAAUUGGAAACAUUCCAAGUUGCUCUUUGGGUUCAUUGUGCUUCUCACUGAGGAGGCCCAUGAUUGGCAUCCGUUAAACACAUCUUUGUGUGGGGGAGCCCCAUCUUACUCAUUUCAGAUUUUCCCACCUCCCGUGGGCACCAGUUUGCUCAAGGCUUUUUCUGAAGCGAGUGUGUGUCCUAGGCAGCUUUAGUGGGGAGAGAGGCGCCUGCUCUGAUUCCUCAGGUUUGGCCCUGUCUUGUCCUGGUCCUCAAGCCAGUAAUUACACGGAAAGGACAGGAAGGUACAAAGGCAAAGCCAAGGAGCCCUGGCUCUGAGGACAGUCCGUGGAGGUUGGCCAGGAAACGAAGCUCCAAUAGAGUCCAGCAGAGGGAAUUAACCUAGAAUGUGGUGGGAAGGCCCCCAGAGAGCUGGGCCGCCUACAGCAGGCAGUGGAAGACCACAGAGGUCAGCGGCUGCAGCGGGCCACCACCGAGGCAGAGGGGUGUUAAGGGCUGAGCUGGAUUCCCCAGAGACAGGUUGAAGUCCUAAUUCCCAGUGCCUCAGAAUGGGGCCUAUUUGGAGGUAAGAUCAUUGUAAAUGUAACUGGGUGAGUUCAAAGGAGACCACCCUGGAGUAGUGGCUGCUGAUCCAACAUGGCUAAUGUCCUAUGGAAAGGGGAAGACAUGGGAAGAGAGUCAGGUGAAGACCAAGACAGGAAUGAGAAGGGUCCAUGGCAGACCCAGGGACAGCAGAAAUUGUGGCCAUGCCAGCAUCCUGGAAAGGUAAGGCCAGAGUCCCAAGGGACCAUAGCCCUGCAAACAACUCAAUUUGGGACUUUUAACCAGAACGCUGACAAAGUAAAUUCCUGUUGUUAGAGGCUCUCUAGGAAACGGAUGUCGACGGCACACCCAGAACCCACACUGGAUAAUAGGGAUUUAUAUGUGGGCCAGACAGAGGCUGGGACCACAGGGACAGCCUGUCUGUUAGGGUCUGGGAGUAUGGAGUGGCCAUCAGGCGGGCGAGGGCCAGGAGGGGAGGCAGGACCACCUCUCUCCCUUCCAUCCUCCUGGCUCCUGCCAGGGCCUCUUUUUCUCUGAGCCUGGUUGGAAACCGGUUGGCAGGAGAGCCUGAGAAAAAGUAGUUCUCAGGGGCAGGGGAUGGACAGGACUGUGCUCUAAGACAAUCCUGGCCCGGAGGGCGGUCACCUAGACUGCUAUGUGCAGACCACAUUCUCACUAAGCCAAGGCUGCAAGGACAGGGCCUCCAGCUCCACAGCCCCCGCAAAGUGGAAGCCGUGAGUGUCUGAAGUGAGAAGCCCACAUGCAAAGGCAAGACGUUAAAACCCACUGUUGUUUGAUUAUUAAAGUAUUCAUCAAAUGACCUAGAGCCAAGAAACCACCCGGAGCAAAUUUGGGACAAUUUCACACAUUUGGAUCUGGGACAAAAAAUAUCACUUUUUAUCCCUCAUUUUCAUGAAGAGGACUUGCAACAGAAGUGUUCAGGAUUGCUAGGAAACAGUGGAGAGGAAACAUAGGGCUGAAGACCUACAGGAAUUUAAAAAUAGGAAAGUGAGAGAUUGAGAUUGUGCCCAGUCAAAUCUUCAACCAAAAUCAGGAAGAAAGUGAAUGGGGACUGGAGAGGUCUUUGGGUCACGACCCCAGGUCACGCCCCUGCAACUGACCCCCCCACCUCAAAAGCUAAAUCAGUGUUUUUGCAAAGAUUUGAAACACUUGUGGACCAAAAUAAACUAGGGUCCUUAGAAUUAAAACCCCCAUCAUUCUUUAAGCCAAAUUUGGUCAUGAAUCUGAGCUGAAGUAUUCUUUCAUUUAGAACAGAAAAUAAAUAUGCAUAAACUUAUGUGUAAUACACUUUAUGUUUAUACACAUUUGUUAUUCAUGAUAAAAGAAGGCGUACAGUUCCACUUGCAGGAGACAACCCUCUUGGAACUCACAGUUUCUCAGGUUAGUCCUUGCACAGAGGGUGGUCCACUGUCUUCAACCAAGAUGUUAUUUGGACUGCUAAUAAAAAGAGGGAUUACAUUAAAUUUGUCAAAAAUUACAUUCUGCAAAAGAGCGAGGUGGCAUGGUCUUUGCUUUCCAACAUUUUGAAUUAGUUCAGAAACAGAAUCGAGAAACCAUAUGCCCAGCAAGCUGCAGUGACCUCGGCAGGCACAAGUACUCACAGGGAGCCUUGGGCAAAUUCACGGUCAUUGCACUCACAGGAUAAUCACGGGGCCUUGCUGAUAGAAGCAGGGUCUGUAGGUUUCUGUCAGUGUGAUAUUCAGUGUGAGAGGUUGAGAUUGUCUAACAAGCCCACCAAUGCUGAACACAAGCUGCAAAGAUUGUGAAAUGAUAGACAAAUCAGUAGUUAGUGGCUGGAAUGUCAAGUCCGAGAUGUUGCAUUGACAUGCAAUCAAAGACCACAAAUGAGGCCAGGGGUCUGCAGUGAAGAGGCACCAGCCUCUGGGAUUUGCACAGAAGGGAGCACAGAGCCCUGUGUUGAUCAGAGCAGGAAGUAUUUAAAAACUGCAUGGAGUUUUGAGAGAGUUCACUGCAGUUAGAACCCACUGAAUUGCCAUGUCCAGAGUCCUAGGUUGUGGCCUCCAACUCCCAGCCACCCUAGACUGCCCCUCUGGUGAGUUCUGCAUUCCCCAAACACAGGAAGCAUCCUCAGCUCUCUGAGGUAACCUUCCUAGGAUGCAGUGACCCCUCUGCCAUUGUGAGGCCUUUGUUCUGGCCUUUCAAGACAGCCAGGCCAGGUCAAGGGCAGGUGGAUUUAGAAAGGUCUUGGGGAGUCUCCAGGGGACAGAGGCCUUUGAUGAAGGUGGUUACUGUGAGAAGCAGAAAAUGAUUUGUGGUAUCACCCAGUAAACCUCAAAAGUUGCUGGAGAUCAUUAAUCAUAGCAAGGUGGGUACAUGCCAUGCCCACUUUAGAACCGUGGGUGCUUCCAGCAGGCCAGAUGGAGCCCAGAAAUUCCAUCCUGACACUCCCAGAUAAAUGCUUUUUAGGUCCGGGUUUGGUGGUGAAGCUGCAAACAUGAUCAGAGUCUCAUGGGAUAUCAGAAUGAGGAAAGUAGUUCAAGUAAACAUCUGUCUUGAAUCUUUUUAGCAUCGCAGACCUCUUUGAAUGUAUGAUGAACACUGCAGAUUUUGCCUCUGGAAAAUAAAAAUCCCACACAGAGAAACACACAAUUGGAAGGAGGCUGAAGAAUCCCUGCGAGUCAUGGACCCUUUAGGGGCUGAUGGGUUCCUGAACCAGAACCUCCUGGAUCAGGAGGUCUUAUAGACACAGUUCAACACACACUGGAAGAUGAGCAGGGCUUCUGAGGACAGAAGCAACUUCCAGGGUAUCCUGGGAUGAGCAGCUCACAGUGUCUGCUCCUAGGGAGCUGCUCCCGGGCUCACAGAUCAGCAGAAGAGGGUAGUUGCUGUGGACAGGUGUGUGGGAAAAACCUACCCCUUUUCCUUUAGAGGAAAUCUCAGCGACUCCAGGAUGUGGUGGGAAGAGAGAAGAGAGGGCCCCUCCUGACACACUUGCUAUAAGUGGAAAGGCAUUCCGUGCCCCUGACCCACCAAACUCCCCGCUCAGCCUCGCCUGCCUUCAACCUGCUGAGAACGCUCACGCAGGCUAUGGUGCACACAAAUGCCCGCACAGAGCCCCGUUUGUAGGAAGUGUUGAACAUGCUGCGUACACACAGGUGGGCAUCUGCACACAUGGGGGCAUGUGGAAAUAAAGUACAAGAUCCAAAAUGCCACUCCCAGUGACUGUGGAGUGUUGCUGUUCCCCUGGUGAUCACAGGGCUGGCCGUGGGCAGUGACCCCUGUGGCUGCCCAGCAUUGAGAGGGCAUCGUACAGUGCACAUCGUCAGCUUGGGGAAAGACCAAGGUCUAAGAUUCAAAGCAGGGUUCCCAUGGAACCAAGAGUAUUGUUUUUACACCCCUACACAGCGGAAAACUGUGGUCAGUGGGGACUUAUCCCUGCAUUUAUGGAGGACCUGUGCUUCAGUAUGAUGAGGAUACUCCUGGCAGGAAUUGGAACUCAAGUUCUCUUGCUCCCAGGAGGUCCUCCCUCACUCUGAAAACAUUAGCCAGCAGGAUAUUCUUGCCAGGACCCAAGGCACAGUGGUGGGGACCCAGGAGAUGUUGCUGGCAAAGCACAAAGUGAAGCUAGAAGGCCAGGGGCUUCCUGCGAUGGUCCAACCCUGGGCUUGGCAAUCAGGGCAGUUUUGGACACCCAGGAGAAGCCAAGAAGUGAAGUGCAAGCCCAUAGGAAGUAGGGACCUUGCAGAGGAAAGAGGCCUUUCAGAGAGACAGGGCCCUGCCUGUGACAGGAGCAGCCAGAGCCCCAGCCUGCGUUAUCAGUGGAAGAACAGAAGGUGCCAGGGAGAUCCUGAGCUGGCACAAGCCAGGAGGGCCAGAGAAAGUGACCAAGGGUCAGGCUGAAACCCUCAGGGCAGCCCACACCACAGGCUUGACCAUGGAUGGCUCAGCCACUGUGGUCUCCCUUCUGACUGGCAUUCAGGUAAACCCAAUGGCCACUGCUCUGUGUUUCCAAGGAAGGCUCAGUUACUGGCAUAUUUUGUGGGAUUUUGGUUUUUCCAUCCUCCAAGGGCCACAUGGAACAAAAGCCACAUCACCUGGAUUCUCACUCCAGCCUGGAUGUGAGCACUUUCCCACACAGGCGUGAAGCAAAGCAAUAUGGGUUUUAUUGAACUUUGGGACAGCUAGUUAAUUAAAAAACAAAAACAGUUCACAUUGCCCUUUAUAAAUGAGAAAAUGGAAAUAGUCCCCAGGGGAAUUAGGAUUAUGCGUUUUGAUGACUUUAGGACAUGGGAAGUCUGGUUUUGUGUGGGUCAGUGGUUCAGGUGAGCAUCUAGCACAGAGUUUGACCUCGUGAAGAAGGGGGGCAGAAGAUCUUCAUCUGUGUUAUUAAUGAAAUGAAUGCAGAGCCCUUUUCUCACGCCAAGCCCUGCAGAGUAAGUACAGAACUGCACGGUCCUCCUUCCUCUUAGUCUGGGAAGCCAGGAAGACAUUACUUGAGAAUCCACUCAGGGCUUUGGAGACCGGAAGAGUAACAGGAUGCAAUACGGGUGGAGCAUUGGCCACAACAGGCAAGGCUGGGGUUGUUGAGAGGGUGGAAGAAAGGUUUCCUGCACAAAACCCAACACCGUUCUGUUUCACUGCUCUCCUGAGACCCUUCCUGGAACACAAGGCACAUCUGUGCCUGGAAGCAGGCAACAGCUCUGAAGGCUGCAGGGCCUAGAUUCACUGGAGCCUGGGGAGGAAAGAGGAGGGAGGUGGCCCUACCAACACACAUGUUCGGUCCUGCAGGGUGGCCCAGGAGUAGCCAUAAAACACACACCUGCAAAGUACAAGUGGCACAGCCCAUGUCCCCUCUCUCCCCACAGAUCACUGUCUCGCUAUGACAGCAGGUCUUUCUGAGGCACUCCAGGGCCACAUCUCCAAGCCUCCUGCCUAGCCUAGGAACACCGCCUGCUGAGCACUGAUGGUUCACCUUGGGGGCUGGAGACAUCCAGAGGCAAGAUCUCCAGAGCCUGAGAGUGUGAGGAAGCACUCUCAGGAACCCAAGGUUUAAAGAAAUCUCAUUGUUUGGCGCACACAUUCAGUAGAGCAACUUGGAGUAUGUCCUGUACGUCAGGCAUUGCACCAAGGGCAGGAGCACUUGAGGGGCCACGG